GAUGAACGCUGGCGGCGUGCCUAACACAUGCAAGUCGAACGGACUUAAGACGCUGAUGAGGCUUCGGCGGAUUCUUGUUUUAAGUUAGUGGCGGACGGGUGAGUAACGCGUGGGCAACCUGCCUCAUACUGGGGGAUAGCAGUUGGAAACGACUGAUAAUACCGCAUAAGCGCACAGAGUCGCAUGACUCAGUGUGAAAAACUCCGGUGGUAUGAGAUGGGCCCGCGUCAGAUUAGCUAGUUGGUAAGGUAACGGCUUACCAAGGCGACGAUCUGUAGCCGGACUGAGAGGUCGGACGGCCACAUUGGGACUGAGACACGGCCCAAACUCCUACGGGAGGCAGCAGUGGGGGAUAUUGCACAAUGGAGGAAACUCUGAUGCAGCGACGCCGCGUGAGUGAAGAAGUAUUUCGGUAUGUAAAGCUCUAUCAGCAGGGAAGAAAGACUCGUAAGAGAGAUGACG
rnacentral:rRNA from 1 species